AACGAACGCUGGCGGCAUGCCUAACACAUGCAAGUCGAACGAGACCUUCGGGUCUAGUGGCGCACGGGUGCGUAACGCGUGGGAACCUGCCCUUAGGUUCGGAAUAACUCCCCGAAAGGGGUGCUAAUACCGGAUAAUGUCUUCGGACCAAAGAUUUAUCGCCUUUGGAUGGGCCCGCGUUGGAUUAGCUAGUUGGUAGGGUAAAAGCCUACCAAGGCGACGAUCCAUAGCUGGUCUGAGAGGAUGAUCAGCCACACUGGGACUGAGACGCGGCCCAGACUCCUACGGGAGGGAGCAGUGGGGAAUAUUGGACAAUGGGCGAAAGCCUGAUCCAGCAAUGCCGGGUGAGUGAUGAAGGCCUUAGGGUUGUAAAGCUCUUUUACCCGGGAUGAUAAUGACAGUACCGGGAGAAUAAGCUCCGGCUAACUCCGUG
rnacentral:rRNA from 1 species